rnacentral:lncRNA from 1 species
AGCUGUGUCCUGGCUCAGACGGACAGCUCUGACUCGCUCGCUCUUUCUCUGGGCGCCUGCGCGCCUACCAUGACAAGCCAUUUCAGGCGAGCCGAGCCCCAGAGCCAUGUGUCUGGUGCGCAGUGUUAACAGGGCAGUUAUACCUUUUACAGACAACUGUGGCUCCAAGUCAAGUAUGAACUUACACAAACAGUUUAUAUAACAAGUGGAGGUGUGCGCCUGCGUGCCAAACUUGCUGACUCGUGCAGGCCUGGAUACCCGCCUCAGACUAUUCCUUGACCGAAGCACUUCCAGGGCAGGAAACUGAAGCUCUUGGGAAGGUGGAAGUUGCACGUGGUCUCACAGUCAACUGUGCCAGAAUAGGAGGCCAGGAACCAUCUCUGCUGGAGGAAGACCCACCACGCAUCCCUUCAAGAAUGCCAAGGUCCAGAGCAAGUGCUUCCCUUCUAUGGGCACAGGAGGGCUGUGGGAGCCCACAGAAUGUGCUUCUGGCCAGAGUGGGAUCCCCGAGGAAGAUGUUAAGACCUCUAAUAAUAUUUAAGAGCAAAAUUAGCACAGCUCCAGCCCAUGGGCAAGUUAAGAGACAGGAGUAGUGUCUGUGGAGUGGAGGAAAGCAGAGGCUGCCGCUGACCAUCCUGCAGCCCUCGCUCUGGCUGCUCACAGCUCUCCACCUUCUCUGGACUUCGUCACUUCAGUAUGUGAAACAACCAUUUCAACCAGCUUGGACAAAAGAGAGAAGCCAAGAUGGGGCUGAGAAACCAAUGCAGGCAGGCCCAGGGACCCAGGAGUCAGGGACCAGGUGCUACCAGAUGCUUGCUCCGACUCGUGUUGCUGCUGUCUUCUCUGUGCCUCAACUCUGUCCUCUGUCACUGCAGGCAGCUUCCUCCCAAGGUGAUGGAGACCAUGCCAUUGCUAGUCUACCUUGAAAGACAGAUGUGAAGAAUGAAGUCAGGGGCUUUGCAGGAAGGUGAUAUAUCCCACCUCAUGAAAUCAGGCUUCACCACAAGAUUGCUUUGACCAAGGGGACGUGAGUAGAAGUUUGAAGAACCACAGACUGGUCCAUCACCUUGUUUCUUAUCCCUCUGACAUAAGCAAUGUCCCAGACUGGGGCUGUUCUGUUAGCCUGGCUUCCAGAAUGAAGAGAGCUGAUCUACAUGGCAUAUGUAAGAUAAAUAAACCUUUGUUAUUACAAACCACUGAAA